rnacentral:rRNA from 1 species
UACGAAGGGUGCAAGCGUUACUCGGAAUUACUGGGCGUAAAGCGUGCGUAGGUGGUGAGUUAAGUCUGUCGUGAAAGCCCCGGGCUCAACCUGGGAAUGGCGAUGGAUACUGGCUCGCUAGAGUGCGGUAGAGGAGAGUGGAAUUCCUGGUGUAGCAGUGAAAUGCGUAGAUAUCAGGAGGAACACCGAUGGCGAAGGCAGGUCUCUGGGCUGACACUGACGCUCAUGCACGAAAGCGUGGGGAGCAAACAGG